rnacentral:rRNA from 1 species
AGAGUUUGAUCCUGGCUCAGAACGAACGCUGGCGGCGUGCUUAACACAUGCAAGUCGCGUGCGCAGUUCCCGUAGCAAUACGGGGAUGGGCGCACGGCGCACGGGUGCGUAACACGUGGGCAAUCUGCCCUCCGAUGGGGAAUAACCCCGCGAAAGCGGGGCUAAUUCCGCAUAACAUUCCGGGGACUUCGGUUCCUGGAUUCAAAGCAGUGAUGCGUCGGAGGAGGAGCCCGCGCCCGAUUAGCUAGUUGGUGAGGUAACGGCUCACCAAGGCAAUGAUCGGUAGCUGGUCUGAGAGGAUGGCCAGCCACACUGGAACUGAGACACGGCCCAGACUCCUACGGGAGGCAGCAGUGGGGAAUCUUGCGCAAUGGGCGAAAGCCUGACGCAGCGACGCCGCGUGGGGGAUGAAGCUUCUCGGAGUGUAAACCCCUUUCGACUGGGACGAAUGCCCGCAAGGGAGUGACGGUACCAGUAGAAGAAGCCCCGGCUAACUACGUGCCAGCAGCCGCGGUAAGACGUAGGGGGCCAGCGUUGUUCGGAAUUACUGGGUGUAAAGGGUUCGUAGGCGGUGUGGCAAGUUGGGAGUGAAAUCUCUGGGCUUAACCCAGAGGCUGCUUCCAAAACUGCUGUGCUUGAGUGUGGGAGAGGCGCGUGGAAUUGCAGGUGUAGCGGUGAAAUGCGUAGAUAUCUGCAGGAACACCCGUGGCGAAAGCGGCGCGCUGGACCACAACUGACGCUGAGGAACGAAAGCUAGGGGAGCAAACAGGAUUAGAUACCCUGUAGUCCUAGCCCUAAACGAUCAGGACUUGGGGUGCCGCCCGUUCGGGCGUCGUCCCGGAGCUAACGCGUUAAGUCCUGCACCUGGGGAGUACGGUCGCAAGACUGAAACUCAAAGGAAUUGACGGGGGCCCGCACAAGCGGUGGAACAUGUGGUUCAAUUCGACGCUA